UACUAUCAUUCCUAUUUUCAUGUCUUUGUUUUUCUAUAGUUAUACUUCCUUUUGAUGUAAUUUUGUUUAUUGUAUGUUCUGCUUUAGUUUCUAUUGUUUAUUAUUUAAUUUUUAUCUGCAUUAUUCUACUUCUUGACAGAUAGAAACUGUGACAUAAGUUCACUGUUCUUGUGCAUGUAUAUAUCCUCUCUCAAUGUCUUAUUACAAGACUGUGUCAAUAUCUUGGCUGUCAAUUAUGAUUCUCCUGGUGCAUGUCCAUAUCCUUGGCAAUUGAAACUUUUAACAGUUCUCCAAGAGGGAGGAAGUUGACCCAAUUAGCCAACUCAAGUGUUUGGAAUUGGUUUCAGGGCUACCCUACUGGGGGCUUAUAUCUCCUUGAUAAGUUUGUUCUUAGAGCAUGUGGUAUCUAACAAAUUUUAAUUUUGGGAAUGAUUAGAUUUUUAACUUUACAUUUUUUAUUGUGAAGUGUCGUGGCUCAAUAUGAUGUUUCAAUUUGUUAUGUAUUCAUUUAUUUCAACUAUGUACAAGAAAAAAAUUCAUAUUUUUCAGCUCUAAAGCAAAUUAUAUCAAA